GACGAACGCUGGCGGCGUGCCUAAUACAUGCAAGUAGAACGCUGAAGGAGGAGCUUGCUUCUAUGGAUGAGUUGCGAACGGGUGAGUAACGCGUAGGUAACCUGCCUGGUAGCGGGGGAUAACUAUUGGAAACGAUAGCUAAUACCGCAUAACAGUAGAUAUCGCAUGAUAUCUACUUGAAAGGUGCAAUUGCAUCACUACCAGAUGGACCUGCGUUGUAUUAGCUAGGUGGUGAGGUAACGGCUCACUAAGGCGACGAUACAUAGCCGACCUGGGAGGGUGAACGGCCACACUGGGACUGAGACCCGGGCCAGACUCCCUCGGGAAGGAGCAGUAGGGAAUCUUCGGCAAUGGACGGAAGUCUGACCGAGCAACGCCGCGGGACAGAAGAAGGGUUUCGGAUCGUAAAGCUCUGUUGUAAGAGAAGAACGAGCGUUAUACUAGAAAGGGCACACUGUGACGGUACCUUACCAGAAAGCAACGGCUAACUACGUG
rnacentral:rRNA from 1 species